rnacentral:rRNA from 1 species
AGCACGUAGGUGGGUUUGUAAGUCAGACGUGAAAGCCUCCUGUUCAACGGGAGAAUUGCAUCUGAAACUGCAGAUCUUGAGUAUAGGAGGGGAGAAUGGAACUUCUGGUGGAGCGGUGAAAUGCGUAGAUAUCAGAAGGAACGCCGGCGGCGAAAGCGAUUCUCUGGCCUAUUACUGACACUCAGUGUGCGAAAGCUAGGGGAGCAAACGGGAUUAGAUACCCCGGUAGUCCUAGCCGUAAACGAUGGGCACUAAGUAGAGGGAAUUACCGAUAUUCUCUCUGCCGUAGCUAACGCAUUAAGUGCCCCGCCUGGGGAGUACGGCCGCAAGGCUAAAACUCAAAAGAAUUGACGGGGGCUCGCACAAGCGGUGGAGCAUGUGGCUUAAUUCGAUGCAACGCGAAAAACCUUACCGGGGCUUGACAUGGUAGAAGUAGGAACCCGAAAGGGUAACGAACGGUAUCCAGUCCGUAGCUAUUACAGGUGUUGCAUGGCUGUCGUCAGCUCGUGUCGUGAGACGUUGGGUUAAGUCCCCUAACGAGCGAAACCCUUGUUUUUAGUUGCCAGCGGGUUAUGCCGGGCACUCUAGAAAGACUGCCGUCGUCAAGACGGAGGAAGGUGGGGAUGACGUCAAGUCAUCAUGGCCCUUAUGCCCCGGGCUGCACACGUGCUACAAUGGUCGGUACAAACGGAAGCGAAGCCGAGAGGUGAAGCGAAUCC